rnacentral:lncRNA from 1 species
GCCCCGUGGGAGCAGACCUCCCGCCCGCUCCUGCGCCCAGCACACGCUUCCUGAAGGUGCGGCAGAGCCCAAGUGAGCCAGACCGCGCGGCCUCCGCCCGGAACGGCCGUCCAAGGGGGAGGCAAACCUCCAGGAAGUACUCGCGCCAGUGAAGGAGCGGCCCCGAGCGGACAGCGCGGAGGCAGUCCCGGUGAGGGAAGGCGGGCGCCCCUCCCGAGCAGGCUCCGGGGCGCAGUGCUGCGGGAGCGCUGGGUCGGACCCGCGCGGACGGAAUUCCCCGCGGAGGUGCCGGGAGCUGGCGAGAGUGGGCGCCCGCGGUCGGCGAGGGCUGGGCGUGGAUCCGCGGCCCCCGACUCAUGCAUUAAAGAUGCGGACGCGCCGGGUCUGCGGUGCCACGAACGUGAAGACGAGUUUUUAAUCCCGAGCAGGCAGAGGCCUGGAGGGAGGCGGGAGGAAAACGGCCCGCAGAGCCGGAGCCGACGGUCAGGGGCGGCACCCGCCGCCUCGCCGCAUCAAGAUAUAUUGUGUUCUCUAAUCCUGUUCAAUUGCAGCAUAAUAAAACACAUAAUAAAACCUAAUUCAUUUUUCUCCUGCCCCAUCCCCUCUCCCGGCCUCGG